UACGGAGGGUGCAAGCGUUGCUCGGAAUUAUUGGGCGUAAAGGGCAGGUAGGUGGUCUCAUUUGUCUGGGGUGAAAUCCUUGAGCUUAACUCAAGAAGUGCCCCGGAAACGGUGAGACUGGAGUUCUGGAGAGGGUCGUGGAAUUCCCGGUGUAGCGGUGAAAUGCGUAGAGAUCGGGAGGAACACCAGAGGCGAAAGCGGCGACCUGGACAGAUACUGACACUCAACUGCGAAAGCGUGGGGGAGCAAACAGG
rnacentral:rRNA from 1 species